rnacentral:tRNA from 1 species
UCUAUUUUGGCAGAAAAGUGCAAUGGAUUUAGAAUUCAAGUAUGUAAAGUUGAUUUACAAAUAGAA